rnacentral:misc_RNA from 1 species
AUGCAUCAUUCACUUGCUAUGCACAGUUACACACAAAGCCUAUAUAUGCAUGCGAUGGUUUCAUAACCUAAAAAAACUUUUAAUCAAAAACCAUUAAGAUGCUGAUUGCAAUUAUUCAAAUUUCCCCUUACUGGAGAUAGAUCAAAUAACUAGCAUCGUACUUAUCCUUUAUAUAUUAACAUAUGUGCAUUUCUCAGCUCAAAGAUAUAAGCAAUAGAUUAUUAAACUCAUUCUAAUAGCACACGAUGAACAAACACAGUAGAAAUGAACCAGCAGCGUUUGUGUUUAAUGUUUAUUGUUAAGCAUGUCCCGGUUGGUAGGGUAGCUGAGUUCAAAUCCUCCCUUUCUUAUCUAUCAAA